UACGAAGGGGGGCUAGCGUUGCUCGGAAUCACUGGGCGUAAAGGGUGCGUAGGCGGGUCUUUAAGUCAGGGGUGAAAUCCUGGAGCUCAACUCCAGAACUGCCUUUGAUACUGAAGAUCUUGAGUUCGGGAGAGGUGAGUGGAACUGCGAGUGUAGAGGUGAAAUUCGUAGAUAUUCGCAAGAACACCAGUGGCGAAGGCGGCUCACUGGCCCGAUACUGACGCUGAGGCACGAAAGCGUGGGGAGCGAACGAGGA
rnacentral:rRNA from 1 species